ensembl:lncRNA
CUAAUUAACCAGCCAGAUUAGAAGGGUCUAGGAUUCCUUUGUAAGGCGCAGCAAAAAAAGACAAUCAGAUACAAUAUCAGGGAUCUUCCGGUAAGGCGUCUGGCUACCAUUAGUUUUGAAUACUGAGGAUUUGAGGAGAAAAAUGGCUGUGAGUUUUGAAAUGACUUUGAGAAUUUCUUGGAUUUGUUGCCUGCUAAUUGGAGGGAUAAACUGUUAUCCUCCACCUAAAGGUAAUUAUAGAUAUAUUCCCCAAAAUCAAUUAAAAGGAAUUGGCCACAAUGCAGCGGUAGCUACCAGCUCCCGUGCCUCGGCAGGUGAAGCUACCGGAUCCCGUGUCUCGGCAGGUGAAGCUACCGGAUCCCGAAGCAACUGGCCACAAUGCUUCAUCAAGCGCCACGACUGGCCCAA